rnacentral:rRNA from 1 species
AGGACGAACGCUGGCGGCGUGCCUAACACAUGCAAGUCGAACGGAGAUAUUAAUGAAGCUUGCGAUUUAAUAUCUUAGUGGCGGACGGGUGAGUAACGCGUGGGUAAUCUACCUUUUAGUGGGGAACAACAGUUGGAAACGACUGCUAAUACCGCAUACGUCCCGGAAGGGAGAAAGACGGCCUCUGAAAAUGCUGUCGCUAAGAGAUGAGCCCGCGUCUGAUUAGCUAGUUGGUGGGGUAAAGGCCUACCAAGGCAACGAUCAGUAGCCGGCCUGAGAGGGUGAACGGCCACACUGGGACUGAGACACGGCCCAGACUCCUACGGGAGGCAGCAGUGGGGAAUAUUGGGCAAUGGGCGAAAAAGCCUGACCCAGCGACGCCGCGUGAAGGAUGAAGGUCUUCGGAUUGUAAACUUCUUUGAUCAGGGAAGAAAGAAAUGACGGUACCUGAAAAACAAGCCACGGCUAACUACGUGCCAGCCGCCGC